UACGUAGGUGGCAAGCGUUGUCCGGAUUUACUGGGCGUAAAGAGCGCGCAGGCGGUCAAGUAAGUCGAGUGUGAAAGCCCCCGGCUCAACUGGGGAGGGUCAUUCGAUACUGCUCGACUUGAAGGCAGGAGAGGGCAGCAGAAUUCCCGGUGUAGUGGUGAAAUGCGUAGAUAUCGGGAGGAAUACCAGUGGCGAAGGCGGCUGCCUGGCCUGUUCUUGACGCUGAGGCGCGAAAGCUGGGGGAGCAAACGGG
rnacentral:rRNA from 1 species